CGUUGUAAGCCCACAGAACGCCGAUCCGGUUGUACUCAAGACACAAAAGCCCAUAAUAAACGCUGCCGUCUUAUCAGAAGGGACCUUGUAUCCCUCAAUGACCAAGCCUUGAGUUGAAUUUAUCUAACCGUAAUGAUCUAUUCUGCACACUGAUUGUGGCCGUUGAUCUCUGCUAUGUGCAAGAGUUGAAUAUUUCCUGUUGUUGAUCGUGUUCAUACAAUCAGUCUUGUUGGAGUAGUCCAUUUUUGAAGCUGAUAGAGAAAAUAGCAGAUGGGUCCAGCAGCUAAGAUUAUGAUGUGAGGACUAUGCUAAGAGUUUUAGAGCAACGGGACGACAACAGGGGAGCCAAUGGGUCAACUAAUGGUGGCACAAGAGCGCAGAGGCAUUAUUGUCAUUUUUCAUUAUUGGACUUUUUAUUUAUUUUAAAUUUUAUUUAUUUAUUACACAUAUUUAACUUGUUAUUUUGGUUUAUAAAAUAAUAAAUGUACUUUUAAGGUUAUGGGAUAAUAUUCAAUAUUGUUACACGCUUAAUUUAAAUAUUUAUACAUGAAAGUUUUAAUUA